rnacentral:lncRNA from 1 species
UAAGAAGUAGAAUUAUUGAGAGAUGGGCAAAGUGUGGGUCAUCUCAAAAAGCAAGAGAGCUGCUCUGGGCGAAACACACUCCAUGGUGUAGGCCAUCUCAGAUGGUGAGAGGCCCCAAAGUAUGAGGUGGAUUUUUUUGAGCUGAGCACUUUUAUAGGCUAAUGAGUGGGAGAAUUAUUGCAACCAUUUCAGGGAAGUGGAAGGGAUUUCCAGGAAUUCAGCCACCACCUAUUUUUUGGCCUUUUAUGGUUGGAAUUGUCAUGGCACCUGUGGGCAUGUCAUUCAGCCAAUGUAUUAUAAGGAGUGUAUAAUGAAGCUCAAGGUCCACUGGAGGUCAAAUCAUCCACUAUCUUGGACCUAGUUGGUUCUAAUCUGUUUUUAUUAUAUCCUCAAGGACUAGGUCAUUUUUUAAGCAUUAUGCCCUGCCCCCUUUCUUCCUGUUUCAUAAAUAUUAAGGACUAACUGCUGAAGAAGAUCUGAUAACUAGUCUGGUACAUUGGACAAAUGGACACUUCUUUGCCAUUAUUAUAUUUGAAGAAGAAGACAUAUUCAUGGUAGUAUUACACAGAAAGUUCUAGAACAAAAAAACAAACAAAAAACCCCACCAAAAAACCUCCCAACCUGUUGCUGUGGCUCUGGCGUAGACUGGUGGCUACAGCUCCGUUUAGAUUAGACCCCUACCCUGGGAUCCUCCCUACACCGUGGGAGGGGCUGAAGAAAAUGCAAAAAGACAAAAAAACAAAAAAAAAAACAAAAAACCAUUUGAGGUGGCAUUUUUUAUAUCUGAUACCUCAGAAUCAUGUUAACAGCAAAAAGAACUGGAUGUUGACUUUGGCCUUUUCACCAAACGUCAUACACAAUGUACUGAACAAUUAAGGUGAUGAUUUAAUUCAGGCUGUCACUAUAGGUACAGUAUUCAUCAACAAGGAACAUCUCAGAGAAAAGGAAAGGAGCCUUAAUUAUAGAGGCAAAUAAGCAAACGAAUUUUGAGGGAAGGAGGAGUCAGGUCUUAUCUGAGCUACUGAGGAGGAAUGGAGGUGGACCUUAUCUGGAAAUGUUCCAGAGCAAGGCAAUCCUUGCAGUUAGCUGGUUAGCUGAUGAGCCUAUUAACAUCUGGAAUAGAAAAAAGGUGUGUGUAGGGGGAGAUGGGGAGAAUUCUCAACAAUAUGGUUUUUUAGACUACCGAGUUCCUAUAAAAUUCAAGUUAGUCUCCUCUUCUACUCAAGGCAAAUAUCAUUUGUUACUAAUCAAUUUAGAGAUGAUCAGAAACCUCCUGAGUGGGUCAAAACAGGGUCUGAAAAGUUGUGUCUGGAAGACUCUUGUAAAACCAAUUGAGAGGUGGUAGUAAAAAUCAGCUGUUUUAAGGAGUUCAGGCAUCUUAGAAUAGAGGGAUACCUAAAAUGAAAAAGAGAUACAUUAAGUACUAUGUUAAAGUAAAGAUCUAGGAAUUGAAUCAUGGGGAUAACUAGCCCAUUGAAUUCCAAGAUGGUACAGGAAAAUCUUUUGGUUAUGCAGCUUGGAUUACUGAGUUUCUUUAACAUCUCAAGCCAGGAUGUUAAUGCAUUUGUUGAAGUUGUCCACAGUCUUUUUUACCUCUUAUAUAAGGACAUUCAUGAUCUGAGAAUUUCAUCAAACUUUGUUAGUAUCCCAGGUAGCAAUUUUUCCAGGGGAAACUCCCAUCCACGUAAAGUCUGCUCCAGUGGUAAGGGCUGCAAAAUCAUCAGGCUUCAGCUCACAAGGCUUCUUGAUAUCCUGAGAAAAAGAGCCAGCUGGAAGGCAAUGCGAGGUCCUAGUGGAAUUUUUAGAAACUUUGGUAUAUCACUUAUAUUGCAUUAAAAUAUUUAAAUCACAAUGUUCUGUCACUAUAUAAUAUUAGUUGGAUGCGUGGAUUAAAUUUUUAGGGACAUCAUCAUAAGCACCAAAAAUUGUUAAAGUCAUGUAUUUGCCUAAUUUUCUCAUUAAAUGUUAUAGAAAUGAAGCUUUUAAGAAGAGAAAAUGAUAGCAUGCAGAGUUCAAUCUUACUUUGCCAUGAAUCCAUACAUAUAUAUUAAUCUAUAUUAAGAUCCAUAUACAUACACGUUUACAGAUAUAAACACAUAUGGAAUAUAUUUAUAUAAUAUUAACAGUGGUUUUUGAGGGGUGUUAGUAUUAUCAAUAAUUUAUAUUUUUUCUAUAUUUGUACUAUUACAUUAGUACAAAUAUAGAAAUACAUUAGGAAAGAAAAAAAUUUAAAUGAGGUAUAAUUAAAUACCUACAGCAAAAUAGAUCUCAUUAUUACUGGCAGUUAACUAAACCUGAAGAGUCACAGGAAGACUAUAAUAACAAAGAGAAAUAGAUCAAAUCUUAAGAAGUAGGAUACAGCUGCAUGUUAAGUCCUUUGGACUGAUACUUAGUUAAUGAUGGUUGAGAAUUUCAUUCAUGUCUAGAGUAAGAGAGCUGUGAUAAAUUUCCUAAAAAAGAAAUAUUUAACUACAUAGUAUUAUUUUCAAUUCUUAUACAUUAAAAAUGGAUGCAUAUCAUUUUUAGAGCUUUUUACCUUUAAAAAAUUUCAUGCUAAUCUAAUGGCAAAUUGUCACACACUUUGAUACUGACUUCUGAUUUGCUGAAAUCAGUUUUUCACUCUUUCAAUUAAAUCCAGGUCUCUAUGUUGUUUUAGGAAUGACAUGUGAAAAAUAAGUUAUUUGAAAUUGCUUUUAUUAUAUCAGUAAAUUUCAUGUUCUUAUAAUAAAACCAAAUUUACCAGGGGAAAAUAAAUCCUCUUUUAAUAAAAGGAGACUAAUGGAAAUUCUGUAGAAUUUAAAAUAAACUAUUCCCAGAAAACACCAUAGUAACUAGUAGACUAUAGUUUUAAUAUUGAAAUGUCAGGGUGAAGCAAAAUUAGAUUGUGUGUAAUGAGAAUUACCUUAAAAAUCAUCAGGAACAUUUAACAGCACUGCCAGUAUGGCAUAUGACACAAAAUAUUUGGCUUAACAAUGGAAAACAUAUUCAAACAUAUUCAUAUUAUUUGGCAUUGGGAAUGGCUUUUGAGUGAAGAUUCAAAAUACAGUUCUGUCUUUGAAUUAGGAUCCAAAAGGUAAAUCCAACUCAACGUAUGAAUUAUUAUGGUACCUUGAAAAUCACAGUAGUAAAAAUUUAAUAUGAUUAGAGGGGUGAGAAGUAUUGCAAGAAUACCAGUGAGGUCUCACCCAAGGUCCUGGGGGCUUUCUCUGUCUCAUCUUGCCUUGCCAGUUCUUUUUUCCCACCCUUCAUUUUGGGGUGCUUAGGGAUGUUUUGGACCAUGCGGGAAGUAUUUUCAUGGGGCUCAGUUCAUCACUUUGGGCAUAGAAAGCUCAGACAUUGUCAAUGUCAUCUCUUCUGGAUGACUCAUGGACAACACUAGAUGUUGAUGGUUGCACUUCCCUGCAAAAGCAAGGACAGCCCUUUGACAAAGUAUAAGAGUGGUGGUGAAGGUAGAAACUUGGGAAGUUUGGGCAUAAAAUUUAGUUUGAUUCCCAACCUAAUUUAUUGCUUUACUAUGGUGUAAACUCCAUUCUUGACUUCCCACUGGCCCACUCACCCUUAUUUUUUCCCUUGAGCCUCAUUUGGAAGCC